rnacentral:rRNA from 1 species
GGGUGCGAUCAUACCAGCACUAAUGCACCGGAUCCCAUCAGAACUCCACAAUUAAGCGUGCUUGGGCGAGAGUAGUACUAGGAUGGGUGACCUCCUGGGAAGUCCUCGUGUUGCACCCCCC